rnacentral:piRNA from 1 species
UGUUAUGUGUCAUUGUAAUUGGUCCUGAUU